rnacentral:rRNA from 1 species
ACGAACGCUGGCGGCAUGCCUCACACAUGCAAGUCGCACGAGACCUUCGGGUCUAGUGGCGCACGGGUGCGUAACGCGUGGGAACCUGCCCUUAGGUUCGGAAUAACUCCCCGAAAGGGGUGCUAAUACCGGAUAAUGUCUUCGGACCAAAGAUUUAUCGCCUUUGGAUGGGCCCGCGUUGGAUUAGCUAGUUGGUAGGGUAAAAGCCUACCAAGGCGACGAUCCAUAGCUGGUCUGAGAGGAUGAUCAGCCACACUGGGACUGAGACACGGCCCAGACUCCUACGGGAGGCAGCAGUGGGGAAUAUUGGACAAUGGGCGAAAGCCUGAUCCAGCAAUGCCGCGUGAGUGAUGAAGGCCUUAGGGUUGUGAAGCUCUUUUACCCGGGAUGAUAAUGACAGUACCGGGAGAAUAAGCUCCGGCUAACUCCGUG